GUUAUAGGGUCAAGCGAAUAAGUGCAUGUGGUGGAUGCCUUGGCGAUCACAGGCGAUGAAGGACGUAGUAGCUUGCGAAAAGCUGCGGGGAGCUGGCAAACGAGCUUUGAUCCGCAGAUGUCCGAAUGGGGAAACCCGGCCCGUAUGGGUCAUCCCUUGCUGAAUACAUAGGCAAGGGAGGCGAACGCAGUGAACUGAAACAUCUAAGUAGCUGCAGGAAAAGAAAUCAACCGAGAUUCCCAAAGUAGUGGCGAGCGAAAUGGGAACAGCCUUGUACUCUUUAGCAGUAUUGUUAGCGGAACGGAAUGGAAAGUCCGGCCAUAGUGGGUGAUAGCCCCGUACGCGAAAACAGUAUUGUGGAACUAGGUGUACGACAAGUAGGGCGGGACACGUGAAAUCCUGUCUGAAGAUGGGGGGACCAUCCUCCAAGGCUAAAUACUCGUGAUCGACCGAUAGUGAACCAGUACCGUGAGGGAAAGGCGAAAAGAACCCCGGGAGGGGAGUGAAAUAGAUCCUGAAACCGCAUGCAUACAAACAGUCGGAGCCUGGAAACGGGUGACGGCGUACCUUUUGUAUAAUGGGUCAGCGACUUACAUUCAGUGGCAAGCUUAACCGAUUAGGGAAGGCGUAGCGAAAGCGAGUCCGAAUAGGGCGUUCAGUCGCUGGGUGUAGACCCGAAACCAAGUGAUCUAUCCAUGGCCAGGUUGAAGGUGCGGUAACACGUACUGGAGGACCGAACCCACUAACGUUGAAAAGUUAGGGGAUGAGCUGUGGAUAGGGGUGAAAGGCUAAACAAACUUGGAAAUAGCUGGUUCUCUCCGAAAACUAUUUAGGUAGUGCCUCGUGUCUCACCUUCGGGGGUAGAGCACUGUCAUGGUUGGGGGGUCUAUUGCUGAUUACCCCGCCAUAGCAAACUCCGAAUACCGAAGAGUGCAAUCACGGGAGACAGACAUCGGGUGCUAACGUCCGGUGUCAAGAGGAAACAACCCAGACCGCCAGCUAAGGUCCCUAAGAUUGGCUAAGUGGGAAACGAAGUGGGAAGGCUAAAACAGUCAGGAGGUUGGCUUAGAAGCAGCCACCCUUUAAAGAAAGCGUAAUAGCUCACUGAUCGAGUCGUCCUGCGCGGAAGAUGUAACGGGGCUAAGCCAGUCACCGAAGCUGCGGAUGCACGUAAGUGCAUGGUAGGAGAGCGUUCUGUAAGCCUGUGAAGGUGUCUUGUAAAGGAUGCUGGAGGUAUCAGAAGUGCGAAUGCUGACAUGAGUAGCGAUAAAGGGGGUGAAAGGCCCCCUCGCCGUAAGCCCAAGGUUUCCUACGCAACGUUCAUCGGCGUAGGGUGAGUCGGCCCCUAAGGCGAGGCAGAGAUGCGUAGCUGAUGGGAAGCAGGUUAAUAUUCCUGCACCGUCGUAUGAUGCGAUGGGGGGACGGAUCGCGGAAGGUUGUCCGGGUGUUGGAAGUCCCGGUCCCUACAUUGGAGAUGGCACUUAGGCAAAUCCGGGUGCGUGAUUCAAGGGUGUGGGGCGAGCGACGUUAGGUCGCGAAGCAAUUGGAAGUGGUUCCAAGAAAAGCCUCUAAGCUUCAGUCAUACGAGACCGUACCGCAAACCGACACAGGUGGGCGAGAUGAGUAUUCUAAGGCGCUUGAGAGAACUCGGGAGAAGGAACUCGGCAAAUUGGUACCGUAACUUCGGGAUAAGGUACGCCCUUGUAGUUUGACUGGCUCGCGCCAGAAGGAUGAAGGGGUUGCAAUAAAAUGGUGGCUGCGACUGUUUAAUAAAAACACAGCACUCUGCAAACACGAAAGUGGACGUAUAGGGUGUGACGCCUGCCCGGUGCCGGAAGAUUAAAUGAUGGGGUGCAAGCUCUUGAUUGAAGUCCCGGUAAACGGCGGCCGUAACUAUAACGGUCCUAAGGUAGCGAAAUUCCUUGUCGGGUAAGUUCCGACCUGCACGAAUGGCGUAACGAUGGCCACACUGUCUCCUCCCGAGACUCAGCGAAGUUGAAGUGUUUGUGAUGAUGCAAUCUCCCCGCGGCUAGACGGAAAGACCCCAUGAACCUUUACUGUAGCUUUGCAUUGGACUUUGAACCGAUCUGUGUAGGAUAGGUGGGAGGCUUUGAAACCGGGACGCUAGUUUCGGUGGAGCCGACCUUGAAAUACCACCCUGGUUUGUUUGAGGUUCUAACCUUGGCCCGUGAAUCCGGGUCGGGGACAGUGCAUGGUAGGCAGUUUGACUGGGGCGGUCUCCUCCCAAAGUGUAACGGAGGAGUUCGAAGGUACGCUUGGUACGGUCGGACAUCGUACCUAAAGUGCAAUGGCAAAAGCGUGCUUAACUGCGAGACCGACAAGUCGAGCAGGUGCGAAAGCAGGACAUAGUGAUCCGGUGGUUCUGUAUGGAAGGGCCAUCGCUCAACGGAUAAAAGGUACUCUGGGGAUAACAGGCUGAUACCGCCCAAGAGUUCAUAUCGACGGCGGUGUUUGGCACCUCGAUGUCGGCUCAUCUCAUCCUGGGGCUGUAGCCGGUCCCAAGGGUAUGGCUGUUCGCCAUUUAAAGAGGUACGUGAGCUGGGUUUAAAACGUCGUGAGACAGUUUGGUCCCUAUCUGCCGUGGGCGUUGGAAUCUUGACGGGGGCUGCUCCUAGUACGAGAGGACCGGAGUGGACGUACCGCUGGUGUACCUGUUGUCUCGCCAGAGGCAUCGCAGGGUAGCUAUGUACGGAAGAGAUAACCGCUGAAAGCAUCUAAGCGGGAAACUCGCCUGAAGAUGAGGAUUCCCUGGAGACUUGAUCUCCCUGAAGGGUCGUUCGAGACCAGGACGUUGAUAGGCUGGGUGUGGAAGCGCAGUAAUGCGUUCAGCUAACCAGUACUAAUUGCCCGUGCGGCUUGAUCCUAUAACC
rnacentral:rRNA from 1 species